GUUAGAGUAUCUGAUAUCUCAGAGUAUCUUUUUUUUUUUUUGCUGUGAUUGUAGACAUCUUGGAGAUAACUUAGGUAGCAAAUUAGUGUUGCUUUAAGUCCUACUAACACAUCAAUUGUACAAUGGAACGGAUGUUGACAAGAAGAGGAAAUCAUCAAUGGCAAGUCAGCCACAACCAGACUCUCAGCCACGCACUAUGGGGUAAAAGACAAAUGGCAGAAUGGGAGUUUUUAUGUGAUUAGUUAUUUACGAGGAGAGGAUUAUCAUGUAUAUUAGUUAUUACCUGAUAUAUAGCAUAGCAGCAAACAUUUGAACAUAUAUAUAUUUGCAUUUUUAUAAACUCAUGUUAGCUGGUGUAGUGGAAAAAAAUUGAUAUUAUGCCUUUGUUUAUCACUAGC
rnacentral:lncRNA from 1 species